rnacentral:rRNA from 1 species
CCUACGGGAGGCAGCAGUGAGGAAUUUUCCGCAAUGGGCGAAAGCCUGACGGAGCAAUACCGCGUGAGGGAUGAAGGAUUUUGGUCUGUAAACCUCUUUUCUCAAGAAAGAAGUUCUGACGGUACUUGAGGAAUAAGCAUCGGCUAACUCCGUGCCAGCAGCCGCGGUAAUACGGGGGAUGCAAGCGUUAUCCGGAAUGAUUGGGCGUAAAGCGCCUGUAGGUUGUUUAUUAAGUCCGUUGUUAAAGCCUAGGGCUCAACCCUAGAAAAGCAAUGGAAGCUAGUAGACUAGAGUAUGGCAGGGGUAGAGGGAAUUUCUAGUGUAGCGGUGAAAUGCGUAGAUAUUAGAAAGAACACCGGUGGCGAAAGCGCUCUACUGGACCAUUACUGACACUCAGAGGCGAAAGCUAGGGUAGCAAAAGGGAUUAGAUACCCCUGUAGUCCUAGCCGUAAACGAUGGAUACUAGAUGUUGUGCAUUAUGUACAGUAUCGUAGCUAACGCGUUAAGUAUCCCGCCUGGGGAGUACGCUCGCAAGGGUGAAACUCAAAGGAAUUGACGG